AGGAAGUGGAGGGACAGGAAGUGGAGAAUCCAGCAGGGGCCAAUGUUGGACAAGACUCCUUUGCCAGCUGCGCUCCCCAUGCAACGGGAUGAGGAGAUUUUAAGCCUCUACCAGAAAAACUCAAGUCUGGAAAUAAUUUAAUUUUUCCUGGGUCUCUGCCAGCCAUCUCCAGAGUUUUGUCAAAUUUUCCACCUACUUCCUCUGUGUGUGGAAACUCAGCCUCCAUUUUAGAAACUCCAUUCCCAACAGUGGUUCUGCACCACCACCCAUGUUUUUUUGUUUGUUUGUUUGUUUGUUUGUUUGUUUUUGGUUAUCCUGGAGGUUUUGUGGAUUAAGAUGUGUGAGAUGAGGGGUUUAUAGGGACUGGCUGGAGGUAUGCCCUCCCUUCCACCCACACACCCACACACACACACACACACUGUUGUGCAGAAGAUGUUUCUUGGGUGGCUGAGCAAAGAAUCAGAUACAAGCAAGGAAAUGUGUGGCAUCUGGCUACCAUGAGCUGAAGACAAAGCCUACAUGGGGAAAAGUGCAACACCAGGAGAAUGGGAGAGAAAUGGAGCCACGCACUGAUGCUAUUAUGAAAC
rnacentral:antisense_RNA from 1 species